AAACCCUUUGUCAAGAACAGCUGGUAAGCACUCCAUUUUGUGGAGUUACUCAUUUAGGACCACCUACACAUGGAUACUUAUCAGGAGUUCUCUUGCCUCUUUAGUGUUCUCAUUGUACUAAGUCAUGAAGGUUUACAAACCUAGAGGAUACUGUAUUUUAAAUUAUUUCCAUUCCAAAGCCAAAUUAAUUCUCAAUGUCCAUGUCCUGAAAAAUAUUCACUUUUACAAAAAUACAAAACUUGUGUAAAUUCCUAAAAUGCAUCAUUACGUUGUCUUGUAUUUUUCUUACAUGUAUUACUUUUAUAUUGCAACAUCUUACAAUUGACUCUUCAGCUGCCUUCUAAUUUGUCAAAGGCCAAUGAGAGCAAGAGCCCUCAUUCAAAAUCUCACGGAUUAGUGAAUCGUGCUAAAAUCCCAGAACCUAAGAUGAGCUUCUUAUGUGGUUCUUGGGAAUAUGACCCCAGCAGCCACAUCUGCUGUGAUGGUAAUCUCUCAGAACUGAAAGACAAAAAACAGUGCUGCGGAGGGAUAACUUACCGUGUAGCAGAGCGAGGGAAACUGUGCUGCAAUGGAACUCUGCAUCACAAUGUCCCAGAAGGCAGUCGGUGUGCAGGAAAGGAUUUCUACAACCCCAAUAAGGAGACAGUUUGCGAGAACAUCAUACACCCAAAGGCACAUGGAUACUGCUGUGGACGUCAUCUUUUAGACCCCAGCACAGAACUUUGCUGCAAUGGAUACAGGUACACGAGAUCACCUGGGAAAGUUUGCUGUGGCGCCGAAGCAUACAAUUCCUCAGACCCGAUGCAAAAGUGCUGCUCUGGUCACCUGCACAAGCUGAGCAGUGUGGCAGGGGCGGCCGAGUGCUGUGGGACACAAGCGAUAACGGAUACGUCCAAGCAGCAGUGCUGCAUCUCCUCACAGUGGGAGCUGGUCUACAGUUCCCGCCCCGAGUUUUCCUGCUGCGGACACCAGUACUACAACACCUCUGAAUUCUUCUGCUGUGCAGGGAUCCUGCACACUGGAACCGGACAGAACCUAAAAUCCUGCCCUUUGCAAGCAGCGCACAUCAAGGAAUGCAGCCAUCUGAACUUGACGUAUCUCUGCUUACAGCCCCAGAAUGCCACAGUUAAGCUGGGUACACUAGAGGCAACAUGGCAGGAGGAUAGCUGCCGGCACAUCGUGCUGACAAACGUUUUCACCAUCUACCUGAGAGAGGGACGUGCAGAACUAAAGGCUAGUCCUCUCUCAUUCGCUAUGGAUCAUUGCAGCUGCCCAGAGCUGGACGCUGGCAGGCAGUACCUGUGGAUUGACAGGUCAGGGGAUGCUGGUGGGGACAAAGUCCUGAUCUACCCUACUCAGGAGCACCACACUUCCUUGCUCCCUGUUGUCCUGUCCGCAUGCAAAAAAUCCUGAGGUUACGUGGACAUCUCAGCCUAGUAGCAUUAGAGCCUGACAUUUUUUCUCCACUUGUUCUCAUGCAACCAUUUCAAUAAUCUGUGCUCAAGGGAAAGCUUCACCUGUAUAUUAAAUCAUGUUAUUUAAUCAUAGAAGUCAUCUCAGACAAUUUCAGAUGGCAAAUGAAAACACUGAUGACCAGUGAUAAGACUUGAACACUAUCACAUGUUUCAAAUGUGCCUACAUAAAUACGUAGUUUGCGUUUAAGAGGUGCUGGAAAUGUAAAGGAAUUACGGACAAAAAUUAAAAUACAUAAAAUAAGCAGAAAUGGAGCUGCAAAAAAAAAGAACUAAAAUUAAUGUUUUUCAAAUUAGUUACUGUAAUUAAUCUGUCCUUCCAAUCCUUUAUUGAUUUUGAUUAAAACAUUACUCAUACAAGGAUAGAAGACCUGAUAUAAGCUUGAAAUUAUAGAAAGUAGCUGCUCUACUUUUCCAGCAAUAAUAGCUGUGCUAAUCUGUGCCUUGCUAAAUAGUCUCACUGUUUUCCCGUCUGCCUUGUUUUCACCGACCAAAAAAAAUUAUAGAUUAGGACAAAAUAUAAUAAUUGGCUCAGUAGCCUAUCCAAUACCACAGUGGCAUUUUAUGAAGUUGUCAGUGUUGAUCUUGAGGAAAGCUGCUGAGGCAGACAACGUAAUGAGCACAAAGUGGAGGAAAUAUCCAGGCCCUUCUACUGGGGUAGUGGAAAACAUUUUAACUUUAAUGUAUGCCGACAAUGUGAGGUUAAGGCGAGUUACUGCUAUAAUCUUACUUCAGCAAAGUUCAUAAACUAUAAAAAUAGCAUGUGUGUGUAUAUACAGUAUAUGCACGCUAACAAGACAGAUUUGCUAGAUCAGUUCCAUAAGCUUGAGUAAUUCAUUAUAUUGUGUAAAAGUUAUCUAAGCAUUGACGCUUCUGUUUUUCAGAAUUUAUUUGUCAUAUCUGCCUUAUUAAAGUUCUCCCUUGAGAUGGAAUUGUUCAGUAAAACUGGUGCUUUUGUAGGGCUAGCACUAGCUACAGAAUUAUUUUACUGUGAGUGUAUUUUUUGUGAAAAGAUACUAGUUUUGGAAGUUUUUUACAUUUUGCAUAAAUGUGGUCUGAACUCAGCAAUUUGAAUACUAUGUAAAGGCUCUGGUGACAUUUUCAAUGUGUUGUUGUGGAUGUUUCCAGUUCUUGAAUAGGUGCUAAAUCCAUCAGGUUUCACUUUUGGUGCCUUUCAAUCCCUAAUACUUGAUGUAACUUACAUGAAAAUUUAAUUUCCUAAAUUAUUAAUUAUUGAUGGCAUUUUAAUUCUAUUUAAAUUAUAUUCUAUAUAUUAUAAUUAUAUAUUACUUUGGAAACAUGAAAUUUGCCAGUUACCAAGACUAACAGAAUGUGAAAAACUCACCAGUAAUAUUUAUCCAUGUUUGUGGUGUGUUAGCGGGUGUAUUUGGUGUCAGUGACUAAUGUUGAAAUGAAAUGUUAGUACAAAGGUCUCAUGCGAUGUUGGUUGUCAGUACCGCAGAAACGGAAUGAGCUGAAACAUGUACUGUUUUUAUACAUGAUAAACACUUAAACCCUGGUUGCGUAUUGACUUUGAAAGCAAAGGACACCAGUGUGACAAAAACCAGUAUAUGUGACAAACACUGCUGACAGUCAUUUUUACAUAUGUUAAGCAUGAGUCGAUGGAUCAUGUAUGUAUAGAUAAAAUGUACUUACCUUUAUACUCAAUAAAAGCAGAAAUUCCU
ensembl:lncRNA